rnacentral:rRNA from 1 species
AUUGAACGCUGGCGGCAGGCCUAACACAUGCAAGUCGAACGCGAAAGUCCUUCGGGAUGAGUAGAGUGGCGGACGGGUGAGUAACGCGUAGGAAUCUGUCCGGUAGUGGGGGAUAACGUUCCGAAAGGAACGCUAAUACCGCAUACGCCCUACGGGGGAAAGCGGGGGAUCUUCGGACCUCGCGCUAUCGGAGGAGCCUGCGUCGGAUUAGCUAGUUGGUAGAGUAAAGGCCUACCAAGGCGACGAUCCGUAGCUGGUCUGAGAGGAUGAUCAGCCACACCGGAACUGAGACACGGUCCGGACUCCUACGGGAGGCAGCAGUGGGGAAUAUUGCGCAAUGGGGGCAACCCUGACGCAGCCAUGCCGCGUGUGUGAAGAAGGCCUUCGGGUUGUAAAGCACUUUCAGAGGGGAGGAAAGGGCGCUGGCUAAUAUCCAGUGCAGU